rnacentral:lncRNA from 1 species
CUUCAGCUCUAAUAGCUUAUUAUUUGAUUAAGUAUUCAGUAACAAAGUACUGGGGAGGAUUGCAUUUUCUAAUAAUAAUACACAUUCAAAAUAUUGGUGCAAGAUGUCAUUUCAAAAAGAGGUACAUUUUUAUUUAGCAGCUUCAAGGAUAAACUAGAACAGGAAAAAUGACUAUGCUUAGUAUGACUCAAAUGUUUAUUUUAUAGAUUAAAAUAAAGUCAAGAGAAAAAUUGAGGUGGACAUACCAGUGAUUAGUCAUUGAGAUACGCCCAAUUAUUUCUUGUAUGUCUAUCAACUCCUAAAAAUGAUCACUUUGUGGUGAAAAUAUUCCACAUGUAUUCUGAAACCGUAAAUUAAUAUUUCCUGAUUGGCUAUCCAUCUUUUAGAUUUAGUGACCAUUGGCAACCCUCCCUAUUUCACCAUAGGCAAAGGUUUGUGCCAACACGUUCACUAGGUUCACAGAAGUUGAAGUAUUUUGGCUACCUGUCCGGGACAUAACAGUAAAA